GUUGUAUGGUUAAGUGACUAAGCGUACACGGUGGAUGCCUUGGCAGUCAGAGGCGAUGAAAGACGUAGUAACUUGCGAUAAGCCCAGAUUAGGUAGUAACAACCAUUUGAGUCUGGGAUUUCUGAAUGGGGAAACCCACUUGCAUAAGCAAGUAUCCUUACCUGAAUACAUAGGGUAAGGAGGCGAACCGGGGGAACUGAAACAUCUAAGUACCCCGAGGAAAAGAAAUCAACCGAGAUUCCGAAAGUAGCGGCGAGCGAAAUUGGACUAGCCCUUAAGCUUUACACGCGUUAGACGAACGGUCUGGAAAGUCCGACGAUACAGGGUGAUAGUCCCGUAGUUGACGACGUGUGUUCAGUGAAAUCGAGUAGGGCGGGACACGUGAUAUCCUGUCUGAAUAUGGGGGGACCAUCCUCCAAGGCUAAAUACUACUGACUGACCGAUAGUGAACCAGUACCGUGAGGGAAAGGCGAAAAGAACCCCUGUGAGGGGAGUGAAAUAGAACCUGAAACCGUGUACGUACAAGCAGUAGGAGCAGGCUUGUCCUGUGACUGCGUACCUUUUGUAUAAUGGGUCAGCGACUUAUAUUCAGUGGCAAGGUUAACCAUCUAGGGGAGCCGUAGGGAAACCGAGUCUUAACUGGGCGUUCAGUCUCUGGAUAUAGACCCGAAACCAGGUGAUCUAGCCAUGGGCAGGUUGAAGGUUGAGUAACAUCAACUGGAGGACCGAACCGACUAAUGUUGAAAAAUUAGCGGAUGACUUGUGGCUAGGGGUGAAAGGCCAAUCAAACCUGGAGAUAGCUGGUUCUCCCCGAAAGCUAUUUAGGUAGCGCCUCGGACGAAUACUACUGGGGGUAGAGCACUGUUAAGGCUAGGGGGUCAUCCCGACUUACCAACCCUUUGCAAACUCCGAAUACCAGUAAGUACUAUCCGGGAGACACACGGCGGGUGCUAACGUCCGUCGUGGAGAGGGAAACAACCCAGACCGCCAGCUAAGGUCCCAAAUUACUACUAAGUGGGAAACGAUGUGGGAAGGCUCAGACAGCCAGGAUGUUGGCUUAGAAGCAGCCAUCAUUUAAAGAAAGCGUAAUAGCUCACUGGUCGAGUCGGCCUGCGCGGAAGAUGUAACGGGGCUAAGUAGUAAACCGAAGCUGCGGCAAUGUGCUUUUGUAUAUUGGGUAGGGGAGCGUUCUGUAAGCGGUUGAAGGUGUGUGGUAACGCAUGCUGGACGUAUCAGAAGUGCGAAUGCUGACAUGAGUAACGAUAAAGGGGGUGAAAAACCUCCUCGCCGGAAGACCAAGGGUUCCUGUCCAACGUUAAUCGGGGCAGGGUAAGUCGACCCCUAAGGCGAGGCCGAAAGGCGUAGUCGAUGGGAAACGGGUUAAUAUUCCCGUACUUCUUACAAUUGCGAUGGGGGGACGGAGAAGGCUAGGUGGGCCUGGCGACGGUUGUCCAGGUUCAAGUGCGUAGGCUUAAGAGUUAGGUAAAUCCGGCUCUUUUUAAGGCUGAGACACGACGUCGAGCUACUACGGUAGUGAAGUCAUUGAUGCCAUGCUUCCAGGAAAAGCCUCUAAGCUUCAGAUUGUAAGGAAUCGUACCCCAAACCGACACAGGUGGUCGGGUAGAGAAUACCAAGGCGCUUGAGAGAACUCGGGUGAAGGAACUAGGCAAAAUGGUACCGUAACUUCGGGAGAAGGUACGCUCUUGAUGGUGAAGUCCCUCGCGGAUGGAGCUAAUGAGAGUCGCAGAUACCAGGUGGCUGCAACUGUUUAUUAAAAACACAGCACUGUGCAAAAUCGUAAGAUGACGUAUACGGUGUGACGCCUGCCCGGUGCCGGAAGGUUAAUUGAUGGGGUUAGACUUCGGUCGAAGCUCUUGAUCGAAGCCCCGGUAAACGGCGGCCGUAACUAUAACGGUCCUAAGGUAGCGAAAUUCCUUGUCGGGUAAGUUCCGACCUGCACGAAUGGCGUAAUGAUGGCCACGCUGUCUCCACCCGAGACUCAGUGAAAUUGAAAUCGCUGUGAAGAUGCAGUGUACCCGCGGCUAGACGGAAAGACCCCGUGAACCUUUACUACAGCUUGGCACUGAACAUUGACCCUACAUGUGUAGGAUAGGUGGGAGGCUUUGAAGCACGUACGCCAGUAUGUGUGGAGCCGUCCUUGAAAUACCACCCUUGUAGUGUUGAUGUUCUAACGUCGACCCCUUAUCGGGGUUGCGGACAGUGCCUGGUGGGUAGUUUGACUGGGGCGGUCUCCUCCCAAAGAGUAACGGAGGAGCACGAAGGUGGGCUAAUCACGGUUGGACAUCGUGAGGUUAGUGCAAUGGCAUAAGCCCGCUUGACUGCGAGAAUGACAAUUCGAGCAGGUGCGAAAGCAGGUCAUAGUGAUCCGGUGGUUCUGAAUGGAAGGGCCAUCGCUCAACGGAUAAAAGGUACUCCGGGGAUAACAGGCUGAUACCGCCCAAGAGUUCAUAUCGACGGCGGUGUUUGGCACCUCGAUGUCGGCUCAUCACAUCCUGGGGCUGAAGUCGGUCCCAAGGGUAUGGCUGUUCGCCAUUUAAAGUGGUACGCGAGCUGGGUUUAGAACGUCGUGAGACAGUUCGGUCCCUAUCUGCCGUGGGCGUUGGAAGAUUGAAGGGGGCUGCUCCUAGUACGAGAGGACCGGAGUGGACGAACCUCUGGUGUUCGGGUUGUGUCGCCAGACGCAUUGCCCGGUAGCUAAGUUCGGAAUCGAUAACCGCUGAAAGCAUCUAAGCGGGAAGCGAGCCCUGAGAUGAGUCUUCCCUGAUACUUUAAGUAUCCUAAAGGGUUGUCGGAGACUACGACGUUGAUAGGUCAGGUGUGUAAGUGCUGUGAGGCAUUGAGCUAACUGAUACUAAUUGCCCGUGAGGCUUAACCAUACAACACCCAAGGGGUUU
rnacentral:rRNA from 1 species